rnacentral:rRNA from 1 species
AUUGAACGCUGGCGGCAGGCCUAACACAUGCAAGUCGAGCGGAUGAAGGGAGCUUGCUCCUGGAUUCAGCGGCGGACGGGUGAGUAAUGCCUAGGAAUCUGCCUGGUAGUGGGGGAUAACGUCCGGAAACGGGCGCUAAUACCGCAUACGUCCUGAGGGAGAAAGUGGGGGAUCUUCGGACCUCACGCUAUCAGAUGAGCCUAGGUCGGAUUAGCUAGUUGGUGGGGUAAAGGCCUACCAAGGCGACGAUCCGUAACUGGUCUGAGAGGAUGAUCAGUCACACUGCAACUGAGACACGGUCCAGACUCCUACGGGAGGCAGCAGUGGGGAAUAUUGGACAAUGGGCGAAAGCCUGUUCCAGCCAUGCGCGUGUGUGAAGAAGGUCUUCGGAUUGUAAAGCACUUUAAGUUGGGAGGAAGGGCAGUAAGUUAAUACCUUGCUGUUUUGACAUUACCAACAGAAUAAGCACCGGCUAACUUCGUG